AACGCUGGCGGCGUGCCUUAGGCAUGCAAGUCGAACGGGUCCGAUUCGUCGGACCAGUGGCAGACGGGUGAGUAACGCGUAGGAAUCUACCUCUUGGUGGGGAAUAACUUCGGGAAACCGGAGCUAAUACCGCAUAAUUCGGCAACGAAAAAGGGCAUAACUGCCCGCCGAGAGAGGAGCCUGCGUCCUAUCAGCUUGUUGGUGGGGUAAUGGCCCACCAAGGCUACGACGGGUAGGGGAUGUGAGAGCAUGGUCCCCCACAAGGUUACUGAGACACGGAACCUACACCUACGGGUGGCAGCAACCGGGAAUAUUGCGCAAUGGACGAAAGUCUGACGCAGCGACGCCGCGUGCGGGAUGAAGGCCUUCGGGUCGUAAACCGCUGUGGAGAGGGAAGAAGAUCUGACGGUACCUCUCUAGAAAGCACCUGCAAACUACGUGCCAGAAGCCUCGGUAAUACGUAGGGUGCAAGCGUUAUCCGGAAUCACUGGGCGUAAAGGGUUUCGUAGGCGGUUCGGUAAGUGGUGGGUUAAAGCCUCCGGCUCAACUGGAGAAAGGCUCAUCAAACUACCAAACUAGAGUUAGUUCGGGGAUGCUAGAAUUCUUGGUGGAGGGGUGAAAUCCGUUGAUAUCAAGAGGAAUACCAAAGGCGAAGGCAGGCAUCUAGGACUCAACUGACGCUAAGGAACGAAAGCUAGGGUAGCAAACUGGAUUAGAGACCCAGGUAGUCCUAGCCGUAAACGCUGAACACUAGCUGGUCGCAGUUUA
rnacentral:rRNA from 1 species